AGCGUAGACGGUGUGGCAAGUCUGAUGUGAAAGGCAUGGGCUCAACCUGUGGACUGCAUUGGAAACUGUCAUACUUGAGUGCCGGAGGGGUAAGCGGAAUUCCUAGUGUAGCGGUGAAAUGCGUAGAUAUUAGGAGGAACACCAGUGGCGAAGGCGGCUUACUGGACGGUAACUGACGUUGAGGCUCGAAAGCGUGGGAGCGAACA
rnacentral:rRNA from 1 species